CACGUAGGGGACGAGCGUUGUCCGGAUUCAUUGGGCGUAAAGCGCGCGUAGGCGGCUCGGAAAGUCGGGCGUGAAAUGCCGGAGCUCAACCCCGGGACUGCGUCCGAUACUUCCGAGCUGGAGGUAGGUAGGGGAGAUCGGAAUUCCUGGUGUAGCGGUGAAAUGCGCAGAUAUCAGGAGGAACACCGGUGGCGAAGGCGGAUCUCUGGGCCUUACCUGACGCUGAGGCGCGAAAGCUAGGGGAGCGAACAGG
rnacentral:rRNA from 1 species